CUACGGGUGGCUGCAGUGGGGAAUAUUGGACAAUGGGGGAAACCCGGAUCCAGCAAUGCCGCGUGUGUGAAGAAGGCCUGCGGGUUGUAAAGCACUUUCGGUUGGGAGGACUGCUUCUAGCACUAAUAUUGUUGGAAGUUGACGUUACCUUCAGAAGAAGCACCGGCUAACUCCGUGCCAGCAGCCGCGGUAAUACGGAGGGUGCAAGCGUUAAUCGGAAUUACUGGGCGUAAAGCGCGCGUAGGCGGCUAGAUCAGUCGGGUGUGAAAGCCCCGGGCUUAACCUGGGAACUGCAUCCGAUACUGUCUAGCUUGAGUACAGGAGAGGAGAGUGGAAUUCCACAUGUAGCGGUGAAAUGCGUAGAUAUGUGGAGGAACACCAAUGGCGAAGGCAGCUCUCUGGCCUGAUACUGACGCUGAGGUGCGAAGGCGUGGGGAGCAAACAGGAUUAGAUACCCCGGUAGUC
rnacentral:rRNA from 1 species